CCUACGGGAGGCAGCAGUGGGGAAUAUUGCACAAUGGGGGAAACCCUGAUGCAGCGACGCCGCGUGAGUGAAGAAGUAUCUCGGUACGUAAAGCUCUAUCAGCAGGGAAGAAAAUGACGGUACCUGACUAAGAAGCCCCGGCUAACUACGUGCCAGCAGCCGCGGUAAUACGUAGGGGGCAAGCGUUAUCCGGCUGUACUGGGUGUAAAGGGAGCGUAGACGGCAGAACAAGUCUGGAGUGAAAUCCCGGGGCUUAACCCCGGCACUGCUGUGGAAACUGUGCGGCUGGAGUGCAGGAGGGGUAAGCGGAAUUCCUAGGGUAGCGGUGAAAUGCGUAGAUAUUAGGAGGAACACCGGUGGCGAAGGCGGCUUACUGGACUGUAACUGACGUUGAGGCUCGAAAGCGUGGGGAGCAAACAGGAUUAGAUACCCUUGUAGUC
rnacentral:rRNA from 1 species